rnacentral:rRNA from 1 species
UACAGAGGGGGCAAGCGUUGUUCGGAAUUACUGGGCGUAAAGGGCGCGUAGGCGGCCUUCUAAGUCGAACGUGAAAUCCCCGGGCUCAACCCGGGAACUGCGUCCGAUACUGGAAGGCUUGAAUCCGGGAGAGGGAUGCGGAAUUCCAGGUGUAGCGGUGAAAUGCGUAGAGAUCGGGAGGAACACCGGUGGCGAAGGCGGCUGCCUGGACCGAGUCCUGACGCUGAGGCGCGAAAGCUAGGGGAGCAAACAGG